rnacentral:pre_miRNA from 16 species
GGUACUUGAAGAGAAGUUGUUCGUGGUGGAUUCGCUUUACUUAUGACGAAUCAUUCACGGACAACACUUUUUUCAGUACC